UCACACCAUGGGAGUGGGUUUCACCAGAAGUAGGUAUCCUAACCGUAAGGAGGGCGCUUAUCACGGUGGGAUUCAUGACUGGGGUGAAGUCGUAACAAGGUAGCCGUAUCGGAAGGUGCGGCUGGAUCACCUCCUUUUAGA
rnacentral:rRNA from 1 species